AGAAAGCCGCGCCGGCCCCAGUCCCCAUGGGCUGAAGGCAGGUUGAGUUCUUCCCCAGGUCUGCGAGCCUCGAAGGCUUCUUUCAGACAGCAGACCCCUUAGAAGCGCAAGGCUGCUUUCUGACAAAGAAUCAAGUGUUCCUUUCAACCAGCCAAGGGACUGGUUUUCUCGCUGACCCUUUGACAGCUCCAGCCGGUCCCUCCAUUCGAGGUCCCUGACUUCCUGCAACAGACUGAGAUGGCCUUCUGAGCUUUUCCAGGGCUGACGACCACCUUCUUGAUACCUUCCCCUCUCUCGUUCUGAAUCCGUGCCCACCAGACGGACUCUGGCUCUUGUUGCCCAGACUGGGGUGCAAUGGCGCAAUCUUGGCUCACCAUAACCUCCGCCUCCUGGGUUCAAGCGAUUCUCCUGCGUCAGCCUCCCAAGUAGGUGGGAUUACAGGCAUGCGCCACCUCGCCUGGCUAAUUUUGUAUUUUUAGUAGAGACCGGGUUUCUCCACGUUCAUCAGGCUGGUCUCAAAUUCCUUCACCUCCCAAAGUGCUGGGAUUACAGGUGUGAGCCACUGUGCACAGCCUAAUGCAGAUUUUAUAAACAAUAACCUUGUCCAUUAAAGCAAACCUGCAGACUCGAGGUCUGAUAAA
rnacentral:lncRNA from 1 species